GCGAGGGGGGCUAUUUUCGGCCGCACACCGCGAGUUGGGUCAUCGAGCAGAAAUAUCCUUCGCAGUAAAGUUCAUUGCCUAGGUUGGUGGUGUGGUCAAUAGGGCAGUUAUUUUAUUGCACGAAAUCAAUAAGAUUCAGCCGAUUCGCCGAAGAGUCAGAUGGAAGAUUUAUCAGCGGCGAGAGUCCAUCUCUCCGCCAGACGACCUUCGGAUCUAUGUCAAAGGUCAAACCACGCGUCAUGGCACAAUACUGACCUUCUUCAACGCAAAAACAGUGGAAAAUACCUUCUUUUCACCGUUAUUGAGUGAGAAAAAAGGCUCGACAUUUUCGACAAAUCGCCAUUUUUGUGUGCACAAAUAU